rnacentral:rRNA from 1 species
UACGUAGGGGGCAAGCGUUGUCCGGAUUUAUUGGGCGUAAAGAGCUCGUAGGCGGUUCGAUAAGUCGGGUGUGAAACCUCCAGGCUCAACCUGGAGACGCCACCCGAUACUGUCGUGACUAGAGUCCAGUAGGGGAGCGUGGAAUUCCUGGUGUAGCGGUGAAAUGCGCAGAUAUCAGGAGGAACACCAGCGGCGAAGGCGGCGCUCUGGGCUGGAACUGACGCUGAGGAGCGAAAGCGCGGGGAGCGAACAGG